rnacentral:rRNA from 1 species
GACGAACGCUGGCGGCGUGCCUAAUACAUGCAAGUCGAGCGCAGGAAGCCGUCCGAACCCUUCGGGGGGACGACGGUGGAAUGAGCGGCGGACGGGUGAGUAACACGUAAAGAACCUGCCCAUAGGUCUGGGAUAACCACGAGAAAUCGGGGCUAAUACCGGAUGUGUCAGCGGACCGCAUGGCCCGCUGAUGAAAGGCGCUCCGGCGUCGCCCAUGGAUGGCUUUGCGGUGCAUUAGCUAGUUGGUGGGGUAACGGCCCACCAAGGCGACGAUGCAUAGCCGACCUGAGAGGGUGAUCGGACACACUGGGACUGAGACACGGCCCAGACUCCUACGGGAGGCAGCAGUAGGGAAUCUUCCACAAUGGACGAAAGUCUGAUGGAGCAACGCCGCGUGAACGAUGAAGGCUUUCGGGUCGUAAAGUUCUGUUGUAAGGGAAGAACAAGUGCCGCAGGCAAUGGCGGCACCUUGACGGUACCUUGCGAGAAAGCCACGGCUAACUACGUGCCAGCCGCCGCCGUAAUAC